GCAUUAGAAAAGACAGAACCUUUGACAGCCUAGUAUUCCAUUCCUGCCAGGGGCUGCUCCUGAACUCAUUCUAAAACAUGAAGCAUGCCUGAAAUAUUUUAUCAUGUCCAUUUUAUCAUAGGAAAACUGAGGAACAGGUAGGCCAGAAUUCUGUCCCAGGUAGUAAAGAAGACAGCAGUGGUGCCCACCACUUCACUACCUGCAUGUAAAAUGCCCACCAUAUGGAAUGUCAUCAAAUGUUUAAAAUUUCCUUUAGUUUUAUUGACAACCCCCAAUAUUCUGAGUUUGGACAAUUAGUGGUCUUUUAGUGCAUUUUCUGAAUAGACUGCUGGAAGUGACAUUUCGCCCACCCCAGUCCUGAAGGUGACCAACAUGCAAAGUCAUCUUUGCCCUUUUCUUUGACUUCUCUGAUUUGGGUUUUACCAUCUCUCAACAUGAGCCUGUUGCUCAGUUUUCCUCCUUAUCCUCCAGCCCUACAGGCUUGCCUCACUCUCUCCCUGCAGAAUCACUGUAAAGGUCUGCCAUCGGACAGCUCUUCCCCUCCUUCAGUGUUGAACCCAUGCCUGCCUGUCCAGCACACAGGAUGCCAGACCCACCCAUUUAGUGUGACACUGGUUGAGGCUCACUGCCCAGCACCCACAAUCCUGCUCAUGAACCAGGCUCAUCUGCUAGUAGAUUUUCCCUUUCAAUGGAGAAGGGUUUCAUAAUAAAAGUUCUUUCAUCGCUCUUUUUAGUUUGCAUCCUCAAAUCUGAAAUAUACCAUAACAGACUCUUGAGAGAGCCUUUUUAGGCCAAGCACGGUGGCUCAUGCCUGUAAUCCCAGCACUUUGGGAGGCCGAGGUGGGUGGAUGACCUGAGCUCAGGAGUUUGAGACCAACCUGGCCAACAUAGUGAAACCCAGUCUCUACUAAAAAUACAAAAAUUAGCUAGGACUUGGGGGCACAUCCCUGCAAUCCCAGCUACCUGGGAGGCUGAGGCAGGAGAAUCACUUGAACCCAGGAGGGGGAGUUUGCAGUGAGCCGAGACUGAGCCACUGCACUCCAGCCUGGGUGACAGAGUGAGAGUGAGACCGCAUCUCAAAAAAAAAAAAAAAAAAAAAAA
rnacentral:lncRNA from 1 species